GGGUUGUGAGGUUAAGCGACUAAGCGUACACGGUGGAUGCCCUGGCAGUCAGAGGCGAUGAAGGACGUGCUAAUCUGCGAAAAGCGUCGGUAAGGUGAUAUGAACCGUUAUAACCGGCGAUGUCCGAAUGGGGAAACCCAGUGCAAUUCGUUGCACUAUCGUUAACUGAAUACAUAGGUUAACGAGGCGAACCGGGGGAACUGAAACAUCUAAGUACCCCGAGGAAAAGAAAUCAACCGAGAUUCCCCCAGUAGCGGCGAGCGAACGGGGAGCAGCCCAGAGUCUGAAUCAGCUUGUGUGUUAGUGGAACGGUCUGGAAAGUCCGACGGUACAGGGUGAUAGUCCCGUACACCAAAAUGCACAGGCUGUGAACUCGAAGAGUAGGGCGGGACACGUGGUAUCCUGUCUGAAUAUGGGGGGACCAUCCUCCAAGGCUAAAUACUCCUGACUGACCGAUAGUGAACCAGUACCGUGAGGGAAAGGCGAAAAGAACCCCGGCGAGGGGAGUGAAAAAGAACCUGAAACCGUGUACGUACAAGCAGUGGGAGCACCUUCGGGUGUGACUGCGUACCUUUUGUAUAAUGGGUCAGCGACUUAUAUUCUGUAGCAAGGUUAACCGUAUAGGGGAGCCGCAGGGAAACCGAGUCUUAACUGGGCGUUAAGUUGCAGGGUAUAGACCCGAAACCCGGUGAUCUAGCCAUGGGCAGGUUGAAGGUUGGGUAACACUAACUGGAGGACCGAACCGACUAAUGUUGAAAAAUUAGCGGAUGACUUGUGGCUGGGGGUGAAAGGCCAAUCAAACCGGGAGAUAGCUGGUUCUCCCCGAAAGCUAUUUAGGUAGCGCCUCGUGAAUUCAUCUUCGGGGGUAGAGCACUGUUUCGGCUAGGGGGUCAUCCCGACUUACCAACCCGAUGCAAACUACGAAUACCGAAGAAUGUUAUCACGGGAGACACACGGCGGGUGCUAACGUCCGUCGUGAAGAGGGAAACAACCCAGACCGCCAGCUAAGGUCCCAAAGUCAUGGUUAAGUGGGAAACGAUGUGGGAAGGCACAGACAGCCAGGAUGUUGGCUUAGAAGCAGCCAUCAUUUAAAGAAAGCGUAAUAGCUCACUGGUCGAGUCGGCCUGCGCGGAAGAUGUAACGGGGCUAAACCAUGCACCGAAGCUGCGGCAGCGACACUAUGUGUUGUUGGGUAGGGGAGCGUUCUGUAAGCCUGCGAAGGUGUGCUGUGAGGCAUGCUGGAGGUAUCAGAAGUGCGAAUGCUGACAUAAGUAACGAUAAAGCGGGUGAAAAGCCCGCUCGCCGGAAGACCAAGGGUUCCUGUCCAACGUUAAUCGGGGCAGGGUGAGUCGACCCCUAAGGCGAGGCCGAAAGGCGUAGUCGAUGGGAAACAGGUUAAUAUUCCUGUACUUGGUGUUACUGCGAAGGGGGGACGGAGAAGGCUAUGUUAGCCGGGCGACGGUUGUCCCGGUUUAAGCAUGUAGGCUGGUUGUCCAGGCAAAUCCGGAUAAUCAAGGCUGAGGUGUGAUGACGAGGCACUACGGUGCUGAAGUAACAAAUGCCCUGCUUCCAGGAAAAGCCUCUAAGCAUCAGGUAACAUUAAAUCGUACCCCAAACCGACACAGGUGGUCAGGUAGAGAAUACCAAGGCGCUUGAGAGAACUCGGGUGAAGGAACUAGGCAAAAUGGUGCCGUAACUUCGGGAGAAGGCACGCUGGUGUGUAGGUGAAGCCCCUGCGGGUGGAGCUGAGACCAGUCGAAGAUACCAGCUGGCUGCAACUGUUUAUUAAAAACACAGCACUGUGCAAACACGAAAGUGGACGUAUACGGUGUGACGCCUGCCCGGUGCCGGAAGGUUAAUUGAUGGGGUUAUCCGUAAGGAGAAGCUCUUGAUCGAAGCCCCGGUAAACGGCGGCCGUAACUAUAACGGUCCUAAGGUAGCGAAAUUCCUUGUCGGGUAAGUUCCGACCUGCACGAAUGGCGUAAUGAUGGCCAGGCUGUCUCCACCCGAGACUCAGUGAAAUUGAACUCGCUGUGAAGAUGCAGUGUACCCGCGGCAAGACGGAAAGACCCCGUGAACCUUUACUAUAGCUUGACACUGAACAUUGAGCCUUGAUGUGUAGGAUAGGUGGGAGGCUUUGAAGCGUGGACGCCAGUCUGCGUGGAGCCAACCUUGAAAUACCACCCUUUAAUGUUUGAUGUUCUAACGUUGGCCCCUGACCGGGGUUGCGGACAGUGUCUGGUGGGUAGUUUGACUGGGGCGGUCUCCUCCCAAAGCGUAACGGAGGAGCACGAAGGUUAGCUAAUCCUGGUCGGACAUCAGGAGGUUAGUGCAAUGGCAUAAGCUAGCUUGACUGCGAGCGUGACGGCGCGAGCAGGUGCGAAAGCAGGUCAUAGUGAUCCGGUGGUUCUGAAUGGAAGGGCCAUCGCUCAACGGAUAAAAGGUACUCCGGGGAUAACAGGCUGAUACCGCCCAAGAGUUCAUAUCGACGGCGGUGUUUGGCACCUCGAUGUCGGCUCAUCACAUCCUGGGGCUGAAGUAGGUCCCAAGGGUAUGGCUGUUCGCCAUUUAAAGUGGUACGCGAGCUGGGUUUAGAACGUCGUGAGACAGUUCGGUCCCUAUCUGCCGUGGGCGCUGGAGAAUUGAGGGGGGCUGCUCCUAGUACGAGAGGACCGGAGUGGACGCAUCACUGGUGUUCGGGUUGUCAUGCCAAUGGCACUGCCCGGUAGCUAAAUGCGGAAGAGAUAAGUGCUGAAAGCAUCUAAGCACGAAACUUGCCCCGAGAUGAGUUCUCCCUGAGACUUUAAGUCUCCUGAAGGAACGUUAAAGACGAUGACGUUGAUAGGCCGGGUGUGUAAGCGCAGCGAUGCGUUGAGCUAACCGGUACUAAUGAACCGUGAGGCUUAACCUUACAACGCCGAAG
rnacentral:rRNA from 1 species